GGAAAACAGCAGCAGCAGUGCCUGGAGUGCUGCAGGAUGUCGCCAGGAGCUGCCUAGGCUGGGCUGAUGUCCUCUGUCUGCUGCAUGGCCAUAUCCUAUAGAGAGGAAGGGAGGCGGGCAGAAACUACAAGAGAUACAGAGAUUACAGUAAUGCUAUUUGGCAGAGAAAAUUCUCAACUACAAAACACUUUUUUCAGCAUAGUCACCACCAUGAGCUGUGCAUUCUUGUCAGCAAUGAACAAGAGCCUGCAUGCCAUAAAAUCUACAUGGUCAUCCAGAAAUUGACUUGUCUUUCACACUGCUGUCACCACUGCUGAAACGCAUCUACCACCGCCUCACUGUGCUCACAUCCACUGAGCCCCUUUCAGCGCCUCCUAGCUCAAGUUGGAGUGAAUGAUGGGAGACCCAAGUGCUGUACGGCAUUAGGCUUGGUGAUCUCCCAUGGAGAAAGGUUAAGACUUCUCUCCUGCAAGCAGAAACAUGUCUACUGUGGUUCUCUAGAAAGCAGAGUUUGUCUAGACUUGGUGGGGACCGUACUGACUUUGCCAUCAAGUCUGUAGGAAGACGAUUACAAUACUUCCCAGAAAGCAUCCUAUGCCAGCGACUGGUGUUGGUACACUGCCCUGUGAACGUUCUCAAAAAGCCAAGAGCUUAUCAGUGACAGUGGGGCAGGACCCCGGUUCAGGUUACUGCCACCCUCCAGGAGCAGGCCGGGCAGAUUCACCUCCAGUAUCGAUGUACCUUACUUGCAGUUUCCUUGGAAAAUCUACUUCUGACCAAAAGACCCAGAAACUAUUUUGAACAAAACAGCAUUUCCCUUUUACUUUUGCCUCAUAAGUAUGAAACAAUUGCAUUUGUAGACUGUUUCGACACGAGAAGCAAAAUUUCUGCUGAAAAUGGCUCUGUGAUUUCACACCUGUGAUUCAGAGCAAAACCUGGGAAGGACACAGAAGAAACCACACCCCAGGUGUGUGUAUCCGCAUUCCCACUGCAGAUGUGGCUAACGUGAUGGCUUCAUAAACAUAGAAUCAUAGAAUUGUAGGAUCAUUAAUGUUGGAAAGACCUCUAAGAUCACCUAAUCCAACCAUCAGCCUACCACCAGCAUGCCCGCUGACCACAUCUCCAUGGUUCUUGAACAUCUCCAGGGAUGGAGACUCCACCACCUCUCUGGCUGGUAUUCAAUGCUCUCUGCAAGCACUUGACAGUCCUUUGCACUGCUGCCUGUAUCUGCACACUGGAGGCCAACCUGCUGCUUGAAAGAAAAUCACUCUCAGAAUCACAGUGCCAGGGGAGCCUUCUCCUUAGGAACACCCUAUUCAGGAUCCUUCUGCUCCCAGUCUGUGAUAUCCAAUGCACAGGAAUACACACAGAGGAUCUGCCUCUCUUGGGCUCACUGCUCUCCAAUGCAAGCCUGCAGUUGCAGUCUGCAGUUUGGGCUCUGUUGGUAGCACUGCACUGGCUGCUGACCCUUCCAGGAAGUGCUUUCCUCCUGUACCUCCUCCCACCACCUUGCUUGCGAUCCCAAGUGCUGACCUACAGGAUACCGUGAUGAUCCAGCAUCACCUCCACUGGGCCCCCAGCUGCCGGCUAAUGGAGAGGCCCUGCUGCGCCACGUGUUCCUGUAAGCCUUGGGUCAUCCCAUUUCACGGCUUCUCAGAAGGCAUCUGUCAGUGCGUCCGUUUCAUGAAGUACACAGAACGGAGAUUAAGUUGCAUUUCAACCACCCUUUCCUUUCUUACCAAGCACUUUGCGUAGGAGUGGCAGCCCCUUUGUUAACUGAUGGGAAGGUAAGCGUCUCACUCCUCCGUGUGUGCCUAGGCUUAAAGCUUGGCUCUUCCUCCUGACCCGUGGUAUGACUCAAAACCCCUUAGCCUGCAACGAGAUGCUGAAAAUCCACAUUUUCACUUAUGUAGAUCAUUAACAUUUUCAGGACGCUUUUUCUUUUUAAAUAAAAUCUCUCUGGUGUUAAUG
ensembl:lncRNA